UACGUAGGGGGCAAGCGUUGUCCGGAAUCAUUGGGCGUAAAGCGCGUGUAGGCGGUUCGGUCAGUCUGCUGUGAAAGUCCAGGGCUCAACCCUGGGAUGCCGGUGGAUACUGUCGGGCUCGAGUCCGGAAGAGGCGAGUGGAAUUCCUGGUGUAGCGGUGAAAUGCGCAGAUAUCAGGAGGAACACCAAUGGCGAAGGCAGCUCGCUGGGACGUGACUGACGCUGAGACGCGAAAGCGUGGGGAGCAAACAGG
rnacentral:rRNA from 1 species